ACCCACCCCUCGUAGAACUGUUCUUACCAGGCUAUGACGGGUAUCCGGCCUGAGAGGGUGAACGGACACACUGGAACUGAGACACGGUCCAGACUCCUACGGGAGGCAGCAGUAGGGAAUAUUGCUCAAUGGGGGAAACCCUGAAGCAGCAACGCCGCGUGGAGGAUGAAGGUUUUAGGAUUGUAAACUCCUUUUGUUAGAGAAGAUAAUGACGGUAUCUAACGAAUAAGCACCGGCUAACUCCGUGCCAGCAGCCGCGGUAAUACGGAGGGUGCAAGCGUUACUCGGAAUCACUGGGCGUAAAGAGCGCGUAGGCGGGAUAGUCAGUCAGGUGUGAAAUCCUAUGGCUUAACCAUAGAAUUGCAUUUGAAACUACUAUUCUAGAGUGUGGGAGAGGUAGGGUGGAAUA
rnacentral:rRNA from 1 species